CCUACGGGAGGCAGCAGUGGGGAAUAUUGCACAAUGGGGGGAACCCUGAUGCAGCGACGCCGCGUGGGUGAAGGAGUAUUUCGGUAUGUAAAGCCCUAUCAGCAGGGAAGAACAAUGACGGUACCUGACUAAGAAGCACCGGCUAAAUACGUGCCAGCAGCCGCGGUAAUACGUAUGGUGCAAGCGUGAUCCGGGUUUACUGGGUGUAAAGGGAGCGCAGGCGGCGCGUUAAGCCUGGUGUGAAAGUCCGCGGCCCAACCGCGGGACUGCAUUGGGAACUGGCGCGCUGGAGUGCCGGAGGGGUAGGCGGAAUGCCUAGUGUAGCGGUGAAAUGCGUAGAUAUUAGGAGGAACACCAGUGGCGAAGGCGGCCUACUGGACGGUGACUGACGCUGAGGCUCGAAAGCGUGGGGAGCAAACAGGAUUAGAUACCCCUGUAGUC
rnacentral:rRNA from 1 species